GUCUCCUUUUUCUAAUCAGUGAAACUAAUCUUCCCGUGAAGAAGCGGGAAUAAAUAGAUAAGACGAGAAGACCCCAUGGAGCUUUAAGCUUACUGCACCUCUAUUUUCUAUAACCUCUUAUUAAACGGAAUACUGCUUACUUAGCUUUAGGUUGGGGUGACCGCGGAGUAUAACAUAACCUCCAUGAUGAACAAAACUAUUUUCUUAUCUAAGAACAACAGUUCUAAGAAUUAGUAUUCUAACAUAAAAUGAUCCGAUAAUCGAUCAACGGACUAAGUUACCCUGGGGAUAACAGCGCAAUCCAUUUCAAGAGCCCCUAUCGACAAAUGGGUUUACGACCUCGAUGUUGGAUCAGGAUAUCCUAGUGGUGCAGCAGCUACUGAAGGUUCGUUUGUUCAACGAUUAAAAUCCU
rnacentral:rRNA from 1 species